rnacentral:rRNA from 1 species
UACAGAGGGUGCAAGCGUUGUUCGGAAUUAUUGGGCGUAAAGAGCGUGUAGGCGGCCAGGCAGGUCCGUUGUGAAAACUCGAGGCUCAACCUCGAGACGUCGAUGGAAACCGUCUGGCUAGAGUCCGGAAGAGGAGAGUGGAAUUCCUGGUGUAGCGGUGAAAUGCGCAGAUAUCAGGAAGAACACCUAUGGCGAAGGCAGCUCUCUGGGACGGUACUGACGCUGAGGAGCGAAAGCGUGGGGAGCAAACAGG